UUUCCUCUGCAAUGCUCCAAACGCUCCCUACAUCCUGUCCGAAGGGGUUUCCGGAGUCACGCCAUGGAUGGCGAGGUGGCAGCCUUUAAGAAGCUCAGCACUGGCAGCAUUAGCAGGAGCAGCAAUGGGAGAAUGAAAUGGGUGGGAAAGGAGGUGAUCCUCAUGUAAGUCGAACAGUUUGUGUCUUGUCUUGUGCUAAAUUUUGUCAUAAGGAAAAGGAAGACUUAGAAGGAGGAAAUUUAGCAGAGAAGUAAAAGGUGUUGCGUGGGAAAAACUUUCAUAAGGAGGUUUUAAAUGUGUUGAAAAGUGACAGAUGGAGAAAGGGGAAAAGUCAGUUCUUUUGUGAUGAAGGAGAAGACAAAAUAUAUACAACACAAAAACAAAACAUGGAUCACACUGUCUCCCUUCGCACUUGCAACGACUACAGAGGAAGGAGAGGAGGUGGCGACAAGGAGAGAGAGUGAGGAAGUAGAGCAAAAGGAUGAGAAGAAGGUAAAGCAAAAGUAGGACAAGAGUGUAAUGAAGACAUUGUAAAAUGGAGGGACAGUGGGAGAAGAUAAAGAAAGAAGGGAGUGGAGGAGCAGAAGAGCUGCAGAGAGAUGCCUCAGCCUGCUGCUCUGCCAUACAAGGACAUGACCACCCACUGGGCCAGUCAAGGCCGAGGCCUUGCAUCAUGUUAGACAUGCAGAUAGACACCCAGCUGAGUCAUCUGGUUUUUGGGGGAUGGGACCGAGGGACAGAUACAAACAUGCAAGUGCACACACAAGCACACCACAUAGAGAUGCCCACAACAUAAAGUUCAGUGCAAACACACACUCUAUAUAUAUAUAUAUAUAUAUAUAUAUAUAUAUAUAUAUAUAUAUAUAUAUAUAUAUAUAUAUAUAUAUAUAUAUACACACACACACACACAGAGUAUACUCAGAGAUGUUCAACAAAGGAAAAAAAAUGUUUUUUGCCUUGGUGAGGUGAUUGGCCACCAUGAGCCUCCAGAACAACUUUGAUUUUUCUUAGCAUGGAUUCUCCAAGUCUGUAACUUGAAAAAAACAUUUUUUCAUUUGCUGAACAUCGGUUCAUAAUCUUUUAUCUUGAUAUCUGGUGAAUGUGAAGGCUAUAGCACAUCAUUCAUUCAUUUACAUACUCUUAACGACUUGCGGCAGUCUGCGUGUUAAUUUCAUUGGGUUUGUCUUUUAGUUUGUCACCUGUCUGUAUAGUAUCUGUAAAAGUGUUGUAAUUUCUGAUUCCUUGAUAUAUGCAUGGGCAUAGUUUUGUGUCUGCAUGCACAGUAUGUCACUUUUUAUGUCUGUAUUUGUAUUAAUUUGUCAAGGGCAGUGCACAUUAAUCAACAUUAAUGUGCACUGACGAUGUUAGCCAAGAUUGACUAAUAUUCAUCCUGUAGUCCUUUGCCAGAAUGUUAAAUUAGGCCUACCUGCAGAGAUGAGAUGAGUCUCACAAAUUAAUUCCAUUUCCACACAUUACAUUUACAUUAUACACCGCAACACUGUGACAUUAAACGGAUUAAAGAAAAAUCAAACAAAGAAGCUGAAAAACCUUCAUUAAAAGUACCCAGUCCUGUGUGUGCGCGUUUGUGUGUGUGUGUGUCUUAAAAGGAAUGAGAGAGAGAGAGAGAGAGAGAGAGAGAGAGAGAGAGAGAGAGAGAGAGAGAGAGAGAGAUAGAGAGAGAUAGAGGGAGAGAGAGAGAAAGCAGGAUUGAGAUAGUGUGUGACCUGUGAUCUGGAUCUUCUUUUUGAAGAGGAGAGGAUAAAGCUGUAUUUGAACUUCUUGUGUUGCUUAGCUUGAGGUAGCUGUCAAUCAACACCUUCCUGAGCCACACUGGCCACUCCCCAUGCAGCACCUCACACGUGUCCCGCUCCUGUGGGUGAAACAUGCUGCAGGAUUGAAAUCUUAGAGAACCCCGAGUACAAAUACAUUAUUUUACAUGAGAGGGGACAAAAAGUCCUUCAAAAGCUUGUUUCUGAUUAAGAUGAAGGUGAAAGGAUGUUUAUUCAACAAAUUCUUUGUACUGGGUCAUACCUCUAUUUUUAUCAAAGAGCAAAUGAGUAAUUUCCCUUCCUGCAUCCCUGCACAAGUAUUAUGAUCAGCAGCACAAAGUAUGACAGGCAUUUUAAUUUGCACUCUGUAACUAAUAUAAACUAGUGAAGGAAGCCACCUUCUCGCACUAACUGUGAAUGUUAAGAAGACGUUACAGUGAUGUUAACAGAAAAUAUAGCAAACAUUUAGUAUGAGCUUGCACUUUGUAAUCCAUAUAGAUAAGUCUCUAUGCACUGUUAGCUGUAUAUGCUAUGUGCAUGUUUUUAUUAAUCUCUGUACCACUGGGACCUCAUAUUUGUCCGGGACAGCAAACUGUUCAUGGAUGAGAGGAAUCUGAGCUUCUGUCUUGGCCAAAUCUCCCUGGAGAGUCUCCAAGAGCUUCAGGCUCUCACCAAGCUCAACCAGUGUCUGAAGGGGUGGCUCACAUUUGUACUGAACUCACUCGGAGUGGGCUGCCUGUCUGGAUCAGACAGCUGAGCUUUUAAGAUAUAACAUGACCCAGAGACAUUGACACAAUCCAUUUUUGUCUUUAGUUUGAUCAUUUUAUAUGUCUAAAAGAAGGUUGGCUUUUAAUUUGAAAAUAUGUUUUCAAUUUAAAAAGAACAGGAUACCAAUUAGCUGCUCACUGUGCGACCUUCUCGUUAUAAAUUACAGCUUAUCAAAUCCCUCAUUACCAUCAUAAACGAAAAAUGAAUUUAUACAAUAUCAUAGGAAAUUAUCUUACAGUGUAUAGUACAACAACACAGCUGAUAGAAAUCAUCAAGAGCAAACCCUCAUUAUUUUCAUUCAUUCCAGUUCAGAAUGUCAAGUAAACAUCUGCAAAUACACCUCAACCUGAAAAAGCUCCACCUCACAAUAAAAUCCUUAAUGAUAACAGUUGUCAUCUGAGCAACUGUACACCCUGGUUAACCAUUACAUGAUGUUACAUUCUGAGUACAAGUGUAAUUUCCCUUCACUCCUCACCUGUUGCCAUUGUCUUGUGGGUUUUUUCGAAGCCCACAAGUCGUGUUGGCAGCUGAGGGAACUUAGUGUGCCACUCACUGUGGUGCUGCACCAAGGGAGCAAUGAGCAGUGAACUGUCCAGCAUGACAAACUGGAUGUUCAAUACUGUCUCUUCCUGAACACCAUUGGCCUUUUCUCUGUACCUGUCAGAGGAAAGAGAAAACAGAAAAGCACAAGAGGGAAAUCAGUGUCCACUGUGCCAAAAUUACAUUUUAAUUACAAAGUUAAACAAAAGAACUUAAAUUUAUUUUAUUUAUUAUUAGGUAGGUACACCUAGCUAAAAGUAGAACGGUCUAAUACAAAAGUCCUGCAAUAAAUUCAACCUUCAUGAGGGUUAUGAUGUUCAGGUUUGUUGAAACUGUUUUAGCGAGGUGUUGAUUCAGCUGUAUGAUCAUUUUGGAGGCUGCAGUUUGCCAUGCUGUUGUUAGUCAUGAUGGGAAUUAUGGAUCUUGUUGCUCAGUUCCUUUCAAAAGAAAAACUCAUCAUUCUUUUUUCUUCUUGGUUGGUGCACAACAGCUGGGCCAGCCCCAUAAAACUGACUGACUGACUGACGGAUAAAGUUACACCACUGGUUUGCCAGUUUGUCCCAAGUUCCCAAAUUUAUCACAUUCUAAACAGAAUAUCCCUGUAAAACAUUGACCAAUUGUUUGAUAGGGAUGAGGGUUUUCUAGGAUAAUGACAAGGUAAGAUCCGGAUCAAAUUCAAACUUAAACAUCCCAUCGAUAUAAUUUCAUUUCACACUUAUUUGUAUUGCCAGACCUAAUGUCAAUGAUCUGCAUUGUAAACAUUACACAAGGUGAUGCCACAUCUGUCUGCUUUGUCAGUGAAUGUACUGCACAAUUUGCACAAUAUGUAAACAAGUUUAAUGAAUUGUUGUGCAGAACAGAUUUUUAGUGCAAAUCAAAUAGAUAAACAAUUAUCUGAAAAACAUUUCACACAAGAAUAUUUUUAAGAAUAAAUAUCAAAAUAGUAAAACUAAAAAAUUUACAUAAUAAUACUGGCAUACAGACAACUUCAACAAUAUUUCAUGUAUCAUAAAAAUAGACAAAAUAAAAUAGAGAAAAAUAUACAGAUACUAUUGGUAUAAACCCUGCGAUGGACUAAUGAACUGUCCUGGGGUGAGUACAUCUGAGCGGCUUUGACAAAAACAGGACAUGAGCUCCUGGUCUAGGAGCCACAUUGGCUCAGACAAAGCUUUCUUACUUGUAAAUAUAAUAACACAACAUAAAUUUGUAAACAAGACUGAGAGGCAGAGAAAAACAAUCUAUUUUAACUCACAGAAAAAUGUAUAACUUGUAAAGUAUAAACUCAACAUUUUAAAGCAUCCAACACCUUGUGCAGAUACUAGAGACUUUGUUAUCCAACACCCACUGAUACUGCUUUUUCUUUGUGUAAAGCAACUUGAUUUAAAUCUCAGGCUUGCUAAAUCUGUCAGCCAGUAAAACUACUACUAAACACAUCAUCUAUGACAAAUUUGUAUUCUGGAAAGUAAGUCCCUUCCCUUUUGAGGGCUUCAAGCGAUUUCUCCUCUCCGAGAUGGUUUGUCCACCUCCAUAAUGGCAUCUGCUAUGAGAUUCCUUGUUGACAGUGCACCAACUCCCUGUUCAAAGAAAUGUUUCCUUGUGCACUGCCUGUUGACCUGGUUGCUGGCUGGGUUCGCUGCUGCUGCGAGUGAUUCUUCCUGCUGUAGUUGCUAUUCUCUGGAAAGCCUCAUCUGCAGAUCCGGCAUCCCAAAAUGCCACCUUUUUGAAUCUUGUGCCCCGAGAAACAGGAUCACCAACAAUGUGGUCAUAUUCCCUUCUGUGGAAUCUGCCUGCCGUACCUUUCCGCACUGAUCUCCGCACUAAUUUUUUGAAAGGGCACCGGGAUAGUGCGCACCUUCUGAUGCAUUUGUGAUGGCUGGGGUUGAGAUAAUGGUAUCUUUGGACUGUAGAAAACUCUUCAACAUGUCAUAUGUAGAGUUCCAUGUUGUGAUUCAGGCGUGUUUGGGCUGUAGCUCUGCCACCCCCAUUUGGAUUUGAGUGGCCUUCAGUUUUGCACCCAGUGUGCUCCAGUUAAAGUAUCCCAUUGCCUCUUUCACUUUACCCGGAAUGAGUUUUGGGCCUUUGAGGACAUCUCUGGCAAUCAGAUUGAUGGUGUGCGCCAGGCAUGGAAGAUGAGUCCAUUUGUGAUUUGGGUAGCCUCUGUAAUGUUAGCAGCAUUGUCAGUUGUGCGGCAAACCACUUUAUUUUCCACUUUCCAAUCUUGUGAAGGUUUUCGGCAGGUUUUCUGUUGUGUCAGUCACUAAAUUCAAAACAAAUAGGCAGGAGGACAUGUUAAAAUCUUCAAUGAACUUACAUGGUACUAUCAUAAAUGAGGUUAAGCAAACUGCUGACACUUCAGACACCUUUUCCUUCAGUGAUGCUGCUCCCCUCUGAUAAAUGUUUGAAACCCUCUUCCUUGAUGGAGGAGUGUAAAGGGUUGAGAGCAUUGCUGUAUUGCUUGAAUCCUUUGUCUUCCACAAUUUUGAAUGACUGGAAGUCAGUGGCAAUCACUUUAGCAAGCUCUUCAUCCGUCUCAGUGGGGUUAUGACAGGUGCUGAAUAAUUGUGGAGAUAUGUCUGUCUUGUUUUGGGUCUUGUGCCAGUGGCACUAUGAGAGCUGGUGCCAGGCCAGGCGAUAAUGUAGGACUUGUGCUAGUUUCAGUGGUAGAUGCAUGGGUGUAAGUAAGAGUGGAUGACGUUGUCGCCUCUGCAACUUCCCUCGUUGGAUGCUUUGUUUUUAAGUGGAGGUGAAGGCUGUUUGUUGACCCCACUUUAAAUGAUAGUUUUGAUUUUCAAAUAUUGCACUCCGCUUUAUUAUUGCAUUUAUUACCUCCUCUAAGGAGGUUAUGUUUUCACUCAUGUCUGUUUGUUUGUCAGCAGGAUUAAACAAAAAGUAUUCAAGUGAUUUGCACGGAACUUAGUGGAGGGACAGAACAUUUUUUAUAAAUUUUUUUCACUUUCCUUAACAUUGCGAGAUAGGGCUUUUUUGGUCAAUUUCUCAGAAAAUAAUGUUUGGAUCUUGAUGCAAAAGAGCUGACAUAUAUUUAUGGUGUUGACAUCUGUGAGUUUGUACAGCUUACUGCAAAUCCAGAUAAUAAACUGGAUCUGACAGACAUGUGUAGGAUUGUCUGGCCUUGGUGGAGGUAUGCACUCCACUGAGUGCUAUUCUAUUUGCUGAAGUGCAUCCAGAUGCUGCUGCAUUUUCAAUUUUUUCUUUUUUUCCCCCAAAACACAUCUACCUCUUGUUACUGGCCCGUUCUCACUGUUCAUAUAAAGUGUAUUUAGGGCAAGCAGUGGAAUUUGGGCUGAAAGAUAACAAGAACGGCUCGGUUCCUUUCAUUCAUACCAAAGAGCCGUUGAAAAGAAUCGGAAUGUAUCACUAAUUUAUACAAGUGAGGGUAGACUAAACAGGAACUCCUCUCUGUACUAAACAAUAUAGUUCAACAGCACCACACACUACAUCCUCCAAAAUGAUCAUACAGUUGAAUCCAGAUCUAUCUAAAACAAAAACUACACAUUGUAACCUUCAUGUAGGUAGGAUUUAUUGCAGGACUGUUCUAUUACACUGCAUGUGUACGUAUGUGUGGAUAGCCUGCUUUCUCAACAGAAAUAGAGACCAGUGAAGUCCUGAAGUGAAAUCUAAUUUAGUCUUGAGUUUAGAUGAAACUUUUUCAGUACCAGAAACAUUCUGGUGCAAUGAAAAGCAAAUGUAGUUACUUGCUCAGAAAGAAACGGCAGUUUGUGCAGUUGUUCUUUCUCGAAACACAAUCACCUAGUGUGAGAGAAUUUGUUGAUGCAAAUAUAAAAAAACUAAAUUUUAAAGGAACCAAACAAUAAACACACCUACCUGUGCUAUCCUACAAUUAUGUAUAAUAGCAUCAAUACCACAAAACACAACAAGGAGCAAUACAAUGCAAACCUCAUUUAUGCAAUGGAAGAAAUCAGAUUAGUUUUAUCGAUGGAGGAGUAUUAUCGACAAGGGUGUGAAACGCAAAGUGCUGAGACAGGCUCCUGAGUGUACACACAAAGAACAGUGUUGACACUACAGCGAUUUACAUACUAAUGUCUUUGACAAAUCCAUAAGGGCAAUAAUGCACACUUGCAUUGUGGAUGUACAGUAUGUGUAUGUGUGUGUAUGUCUGUGCGAGUGUGGUGCCCAGCUUAAUGUUUGAAGAGAUUGUGUAACUGGACUUCAGUAUAUAGAUUCCACUGAGGUCACAAGGACAAUGCUGUUUGCUUCAGCCACCCUGUCACUUCUCUACCCUAUUCAUCAUUUCUUCUUUACUUUUCAUCACCAGCUCUCACUUUCUCUCCUCUCUGAAUCAUCAAGGCUACUGCAUAUUUCAAAGUGUUGUUCAAAACAUCACACAGUGUUUGAAAGCUCUUUUCGGAUAACUCAACAAGCAAGUCAUACAAAUAUUUUUGUAAUGUCCUGAAAAGGAAAUCCUGACACUGACACUGUGCCAGUUCACCGCAGCUGAGACUAGCCAGGUCUCCUCAAAUGUGAAUAUAGAGAGAGCUCUAAGAGUUCACGAAAACUAUUCUCUUCAUUCUUCUUCAUUCAUGACUGCUCAACUGAUUUUCAUCAACAGCUCUGUAUACAAAUGCUCUGAGUGUUCUUUUUUUAUUUGAAUUUGUAUCACUCCCCACCUUUUUAAAUCUAAACUCGCACUGCGGGUGUUCAACACUCAACAGGAAACACUGAAUGGACGAUGGUGGAACUGACAUUUCAGAGUUUGCUGGCUGAUUUUCAUUCUGACAAAUUGCAUGCUGUGAAAUUACUUUUACUAUCUCACAUUUUAUUUUUUUGCACAAAGCAGCUUGUAUAUUAUCAAUAAUAAACAUUAAAACUCAGUAGGUGAUCUGUGA